rnacentral:rRNA from 1 species
CAGCAGCCACGGUAAUACGGAGGGGGCUAGCGUUGUUCGGAAUUACUGGGCGUAAAGCGUGCGCAGGCGGUUCGUUAAGACAGAUGUGAAAUCCCCGGGCUUAACCUGGGAACUGCAUUUGUGACUGGCGAGCUAGAGUAUGGCAGAGGGGGGUAGGAUUCCACGUGUAGCAGUGAAAUGCGUAGAGAUGUGGAGGAAUACCGAUGGCGAAGGCAGCCCCCUGGGCCAAUACUGACGCUCAUGCACGAAAGCGUGGGGAGCAAACAGGAUUAGAUACCCCUGUAGUCCCUGUCUCUUAUAC